rnacentral:rRNA from 1 species
AUUGAACGCUGGCGGCAGGCCUAACACAUGCAAGUCGAACGGUAACAGGAAACAGCUUGCUGUUUCGCUGACGAGUGGCGGACGGGUGAGUAAUGUCUGGGAAACUGCCUGAUGGAGGGGGAUAACUACUGGAAACGGUAGCUAAUACCGCAUAACGUCGCAAGACCAAAGAGGGGGACCCUCGGGCCUCUUGCCAUCGGAUGUGCCCAGAUGGGAUUAGCUUGUUGGUGGGGUAACGGCUCACCAAGGCGACGAUCCCUAGCUGGUCUGAGAGGAUGACCAGGCACACUGGAACUGAGACCCGGUCCAGACUCCUACGGGGGGCAGCCGUGGGGAAUAUUGCCCCAUUGGCGCAAGCCUGAUGCAGCCAUGCCGCGUGUAUGAAGAAGGCCUUCGGGUUGUAAAGUACUUUCAGCGGGGAGGAAGGGAGUAAAGUUAAUACCUUUGCUCAUUGACGUUACCCGCAGAAGAAGCACCGGCUAACUCCGUG